GGCGGGCGGGGCGGGGGCACGGGGGGCCUACGGGAGGCAGCAGUAAGGAAUAUUGGUCAAUGGACGCAAGUCUGAACCAGCCAUGCCGCGUGGAGGAUGAAUGCCCUCUGGGUUGUAAACUCCUUUUAUCUGGGAAGAAACCUAUACAUUCUUGUGUAGUUGACGGUACCAGAGGAAUAAGCACCGGCUAACUCCGUGCCAGCAGCCGCGGUAAUACGGAGGGUGCAAGCGUUAUCCGGAUUCACUGGGUUUAAAGGGUGCGUAGGUGGGUAGGUAAGUCAGUGGUGAAAUCCCCGAGCUUAACUUGGGAACUGCCGUUGAUACUAUCUAUCUUGAAUAUCGUGGAGGUAAGCGGAAUAUGUCAUGUAGCGGUGAAAUGCUUAGAUAUGACAUAGAACACCCAUUGCGAAGGCAGCUUACUACACGAUCAUGACACUGAGCACGAAAG
rnacentral:rRNA from 1 species